AAGCAGGGGGACAGGCGAGCCCGUCCCGGGGCAGAUGUUGCGCUGGAGGACGGACUGAUGAUGCAAAAAGAUCCCGUUCACUGGAACAACGGGCUGGAGUCCAGAAGCUAAAGAGAGGUAUCAGCCACUGUCGGUGCCGCUUCAUGACUGCCUGCGUCUCAAGACCCCCAUCUCCUGUUUCCAGGCUCCUGAUCCACAGACCGCGUUCCCACCAGAGAAGCUGUGCUUCGCCUACAGAAAGAGCACGUUGGCCGCCCAGAAGGGUAGAUUGGUUUCGCAGCACCAACAUCUGGUGUGGAAAUGAUUUAAUAACUUCAUCCCACGGAGCAUCAC